GACUGGGAAAAAAAUUCGGCCCGGGCAUUUUUUUAUCACAGCGGCCCACUAAGAAGGGGGCGGGGCAGAGAGGGUGUGUUUUGUCAUCACUCAUGACAAACACGCCUCCUCUCAAAGUGAGCAUGUUGGUUCAAUGCUCUUCCAGGGCAGACCAUGCACAGAGCUCUGCUGAAGAGCUCUAGCAUGAGAAAAAAGCCCUGUAUUUGUUCUGUGCCGUGCAAGCAAAUUUAAUAACAUGCUUGCACUGUGUUUCCUUGCAACUUGUCUCUGGUGUCUCUAUAAAUGGAUACCAGGAGACAAAAGGGCCAGGAAAGAGUAUUGUGCAUGUGUUUGGAGCCUGCUUGGGAUAUUGC